AUACCAAAAGGUUUCACUGUACUGAAGGAGACACACUCAUGUAUAUGGACGCUGUGGUUAUCGCCGGAAUCGUUACGGUGCUGUUGAUGCUGGGCUUUUUCGUCGGGGUUGCCGUGUUUGUCA
rnacentral:ncRNA from 1 species